rnacentral:misc_RNA from 1 species
UUUCCGUAGGUGAACCUGCGGAAGGAUCAUUAUUGUAUACCUAGUCAAGCGAACGCUAUGCCAAACCCUGUGCGUAGCAGUGUUCUCUUCCCAGCGGCAGCUCUUGCCACCCUGGCCUCUGCCAGGACCAGCAUCAUUGACGGUAGGGGUAUUUCCGCGCAAGAGGUAAAACAUAAUCAACACCAUGAAACUCGAAAUUAACGAAUUACAACUUUUAACGGUGGAUCUCUAAGCUUAAGCAUACAUGAAUAACCCACAGUAACGGACGAUCACACCUCC